UUUGCAGCAUACACUUGAUGAAAUCACCUAUAUGAGUGUCAAGUGGGGCCGCUUGCAUGAGAUCUUGGCAUGAUCUCUAGAGCACUCAUGAAUACCGGGCACGCGCAUGGCCUAGUAAGCGUAACACAGCGAUAACAGCAAGGAUUGUGGGGGGUGUAUUGUGAUUGAUAAACCUCUAACACACGUCAAGUGUCUUUGGUUCAUAUAGCUUGCUAUACCAACUACAUUGUGUGUUAAGUUUCUUGAUCUAAGACUGGUUCAUAUAGCUUGCUAUACCAGCUCUGAUGCAUUACAUCCUAUGAGACCCAGAAUAAAAGUUCUUAUCUUUCUUUGAGUGUUUGAACUAUUUGAGUCAAAGAUUUUUCUUUCCAUCUCUCUUUUGCAAUAAGUGGGGGAUUGUUAUAAUAUUUUAUUAUUAUUGCAAAAGUGAAAACGGUUUGCAACGUUGAUAUUUCAAUUAAUUGGCAACGGAAAGUUUUAUCACAAUGUUAAAUGCAUUGCAACGUUUUUUUCUUAAUUCAACGUUCAAAUUAUUUUAAAUUAAAUCAUUUAUGUUUUUUAAUUUCUUUUAAUGUCUUGUUUCUUUCCUCCCUCUAUAAAUAGGGAGCUCCUCCUCCAUUCCAAGACACAUAAAAAAUCAUUCUUUCUCAUUC
rnacentral:lncRNA from 1 species